CCCUGCCACUCUGAGAACUUUCUGCCAUACGCAUAUAUAAUUGCUAAGAGAUUAGCUAUUAAGGGGAACCAGCAGGCAGAGCUAUGUUAUAUUGUAAGUUAAAAGUGCUUCAGGCUUCUUGUGAGAGGGUUCCUCAAAUUAAUUCUGUUUCUGUUGAAAGUUCCCAUUAAAGUUAUUAUUGAGGUUGAGAGUGAGAUCUAGGUUGAGAUCUUCAGCACGAUCAAGAGGACAAACUAAGGGUCUUCUACCAGGGAGCAGAAUGACCAGACGGAGGGAUGGAGCUCUGAUUAUUUACUUUGCUCAGACAACACAGAGGGAAGCAAAGGAAGAGCAGGAUGACCUUCACUAGCCACCCACAUCUCUCACUAAGAUAACCGAAAGUGCCUCAACGUCCUGUUGGAUCGCCCCUUCCGAUCAAAUCAGAUAGAUCACGUCCUGUACUCUCUGGUAAACUCUCCAUGACCCAAUGCUGUCCCUGGGGACACUUACCCGACCUCAGAGUGGUAAAGCAUACUUAAUUCAGAUGAUAAGUAAUGUAGUUUGUAACAUUGUAGUGCUAUGAAUGGAUCCUGGUCAAAUCUUGAAAUGCACAAGCCUAACCCGAGUUUAAAAAACAUAGGAUACGCGUUUAACUCUACGGGUUUUAUAUCUACAUGCUAUUGUAUGAUUCAUUGUCCAUUUUGGGUGACCAGGUUAUAGCAUUCUGGCCGCCACCACCACCACCACCAAAAUCUGAUAGGAGUGAGUAGGAUUGGUGUGUGCAAGACAGUGACAACCUGAACUGCUAUGUAUGCCUCCCCUAAAUGAAAAAAAA
ensembl:lncRNA